rnacentral:rRNA from 1 species
GGGAGCUUGCUCCCUUAGGUCAGCGGCGGACGGGUGAGUAACACGUGGGUAACCUGCCUGUAAGACUGGGAUAACUCCGGGAAACCGGGGCUAAUACCGGAUGCUUGAUUGAACCGCAUGGUUCAAUCAUAAAAGGUGGCUUUUAGCUACCACUUACAGAUGGACCCGCGGCGCAUUAGCUAGUUGGUGAGGUAACGGCUCACCAAGGCGACGAUGCGUAGCCGACCUGAGAGGGUGAUCGGCCACACUGGGACUGAGACACGGCCCAGACUCCUACGGGAGGCAGCAGUAGGGAAUCUUCCGCAAUGGACGAAAGUCUGACGGAGCAACGCCGCGUGAGUGAUGAAGGUUUUCGGAUCGUAAAACUCUGUUGUUAGGGAAGAACAAGUACCGUUCGAAUAGGGCGGUACCUUGACGGUACCUAACCAGAAAGCCACGGCUAACUACGUGCCAGCAGCCGCGGUAAUACGUAGGUGGCAAGCGUUGUCCGGAAUUAUUGGGCGUAAAGCGCGCGCAGGCGG